ACAAAAAUACGACAUAAGUUCCAAACACAUAACGACAUAAUUUGACAACAUUAUAGCAUGUCCCAAAAGGCAAUGAAUGCCUAACAACACAAAGUUAUAAGUUCGUCAUAUUGUGAAAUAAGAGCAAAUACAGAGCACACAUAAUAGGUAAAAAUAUGGUGGUAGAAGUUUCUAGGACGGCGUUGGUUUAAUUCGACCAAAGCGAUGAAUUUUAGUUGUAGUCAUAGGAAGAUCGAAGACAUGGGCAAUGUUGGAGGACAGAGCAUUGGUUGCCAUCGAUAAGGCAUAUCCGCACAGGGUCACUUUUACAGGCCUACAAAUUGAGGAAAAAAAAGUGAAAAAUAAACAAGUAAUUAAAAUAUAAUAAACUUAGUUAUUGAAGAGUCAUAAAUAAAAUAGUAAGUGAAAAUUAAACAAUUAAUUACAAUAAAAUAAACAUAGUUAUUGAAGCAUAAAAAGAAAGAGUAAGUGAAAAUUGAACAAAGAAAUACAAUAUAACAAACUAACUCAUUGAAUCGUCAUCACUGCUGCUUGAUAGUAGUCGGAAGAAGUCAUGUGCAGCAGCAGGAGUGUUGGCUAAAUAUUGAGUACGCUGAAUCUGUUAUAAAAUGGGAAAACAUUGACUGAUUAAUUGAAUUUCAUAUUAAUAUCUAGUAAAUGCAUAGUAUGGAUAAUAGAGACGAUAAGAGACGUGGAUAAAUGACAUGUGCUGCAGGGGCAAUAUGGCACGGCGUGUGUUGUAAAAUAAUGGUGUGUGCACAUGGAGGAGGCAGCAAAACAGCAGAAGCAUGGGACAUCCAUGGAAAAUUUUUCUAAUACAAUCAAUAUAAGAGAUCUACAACAAACAAUAAGCAUGUACCAUUUCUACCAUGGCAAUAUUUUAUGUUUUCGAUUCACUUGGUUCUAUUACUUUCUGCAGUUUCACUUUCCCUAUUCCCAAAUCACCUUACAUGUUCACUGUCAAACUUAAUCUUCAUUGCAAUACUUAGUAACACCCAAGCUACUCUUGCACUUUCGGCUGUACAUUCCAUUAUUAUUCUAUGCACUUACAAAAAUACAAAACAAAUCAACUGAAUAAUCUAUUUAUUAUUAGUCUUUUCUAAGUAAUUAUUAUAUAAAUUACAUAAAAAUAAAAGGAUUGAAAAUUUAAUUUUAAGGUGCCGCCUGCUUCUAAGAAGUUGAGGUUCAAAGCAUAGUCAUCAUGAAGAUAAAAGAAGAGACAACAAACAUCACUGACCCAAUAAAAUUACAGAGCAAAACCACAAGUUUCUCAUCAAUCCUAAUGCAACAAACAGGUGUCCAAUUGAACUGCUAGUAAACAAUCCCAAAUUUUUUUUGCAAAUUAAUGAACUAGACUCUACAAUUUUCCCAUUCUCUCUACUAUAUAUAAUUUCCCAACACAAAUAUUAUGAAUUAUGCAUUAUUCAAGUAAAAAAUUUCAAUUUCAGCUUCUAGUAACCUGCAGUUUUGUUGUCACGACCCUUCUUUUCGUUUCCUUUGAUGCUACCACAUAGAUGUUCAACUAGCCGCGAUCCACUUCAUUCAUCCCACGUAACACACCGUCGCAACGCGCUUGACUGUUCUCCCUACCGUAUAUUUCUC
rnacentral:lncRNA from 1 species